UACGUAGGGACCGAGCGUUGUCCGGAAUCAUUGGGCGUAAAGAGCGUGUAGGCGGCUUGUUAAGUCUUGCGUGAAAUCUCGGGGCUCAACCCCGAGCGGUCGUGAGAAACUGGCAGGCUAGAGUGCGGGAGAGGAGAGUGGAAUUCCUGGUGUAGCGGUGAAAUGCGCAGAUAUCAGGAGGAACACCGGUGGCGAAGGCGGGGUCUCUGGGCCGAUACUGACGCUGAGGAGCGAAAGCGUGGGGAGCGAACAGG
rnacentral:rRNA from 1 species